GUCCACGCCGUAAACGAUGUCUACUAGUCGUCGGGGAUCUUGCAUUUCUGGUGACGCAGCUAACGCGAUAAGUAGACCGCCUGGGGAGUACGGCCGCAAGGUUAAAACUCAAAUGAAUUGACGGGGGCCCGCACAAGCGGUGGAGCAUGUGGUUUAAUUCGAAGCAACGCGAAGAACCUUACCUGGCCUUGACAUCCUGCGAACCUUUUAGAGAUAGAGGGGUGCCUUCGGGAACGCAGUGACAGGUGCUGCAUGGCU
rnacentral:rRNA from 1 species